rnacentral:rRNA from 1 species
AUAUUGGACAAUGGGCGAAAGCCUGAUCCAGCCAUGCCGCGUGAGUGAUGAAGGCCUUAGGGUUGUAAAGCUCUUUUGUCAGGGAAGAUAAUGACGGUACCUGAAGAAUAAGCACCGGCUACCUUCGUGCCAGCAGCCGCGGUAAUACGAAGGGUGCUAGCGUUGUUCGGAAUCACUGGGCGUAAAGCGCGCGUAGGCGGCUUUUCAAGUCAGGGGUGAAAUCCUGGGGCUUAACCCCAGAAUUGCCUUUGAAACUGUAAAGCUUGAGUGUCGGAGGAGAUAGCGGAAUUCCUAAUGUAGAGGUGAAAUUCGUAGAUAUUAGGAGGAACACCGGUGGCGAAGGCGGCUAUCUGGACGACAACUGACGCUGAGGCGCGAAAGCGUGGGGAUCAAACAGG